rnacentral:rRNA from 1 species
UACGGAAGGCAGCAGUGGGGAAUAUUGCACAAUGGGCGCAAGCCUGAUGCAGCCAUGCCGCGUGUAUGAAGAAGGCCUUCGGGUUGUAAAGUACUUUCAGUCGUGAGGAAGGUGUUAAGGUUAAUAACCUUAGCAAUUGACGUUAGCGACAGAAGAAGCACCGGCUAACUCCGUGCCAGCAGCCGCGGUAAUACGGAGGGUGCGAGCGUUAAUCGGAAUUACUGGGCGUAAAGGGCACGCAGGCGGUUAAUUAAGUUGGAUGUGAAAUCCCCGGGCUUAACCUGGGAAUGGCAUUCAAGACUGGUUAGCUAGAGUCUUGUAGAGGGGGUAGAAUUCCAUGUGUAGCGGUGAAAUGCGUAGAGAUGUGGAGGAAAUACCGGUGGCGAAGGCGGCCCCUGGGACAAAGGACUGACGCUCAUGUGCGAAAGCGUGGGGAGCAAAACAGGGAUUAGAUACC